AUUGAACGCUGGCGGCAGGCCUAACACAUGCAAGUCGAACGAGUGGCGGACAGGUCAGUAAUGUCUGGGAAACUGCCUGAUGGAGGGGGAUAACUACUGAGAACGGUAGCUUAUACCGCAUACCAUCGGAUGUGCCCAGAUGGGAUUAGCUAGUAGGGGGUGUAAAGGCUAACCUAGGCGACGAUCCCUAGCUGGUCUGAGAGGAUGACGCGCCACCCUGAAAAUGAGACACGGUCCAGACUCCUACGGGAGUCAGCAGUGGGGAAUAUUGCACAAUGGGCGCAAGCCUGAUGCAGCCAUGCCGCGUGUAUGGAGAAGGCCCUUGGGUUGUAAAGUACUUUCAGCGGGGCGGCGUUACCCGCAGAAGAAGCACCGGCUAACCCCGUGCCAGCCGCCGCGGUAAUAC
rnacentral:rRNA from 1 species